rnacentral:rRNA from 1 species
AGAACGAACGCUGGCGGCGUGCCUAACACAUGCAAGUCGAGCGCGAAUAGGGGCAACCCUUAGUAGAGCGGCGCACGGGUGCGUAACACGUGGAUAAUCUGCCUGGAUGCCCGGGAUAACCAGUCGAAAGAUUGGCUAAUACCGGAUAAGCCCACGGCCUCUUCGGAGACUGAGGGAAAAGGUGGCCUCUGUAUACAAGCUAUCACAACCAGAUGAGUCCGCGGCCCAUCAGCUAGUUGGCGGGGUAAUGGCCCACCAAGGCAACGACGGGUAGCUGGUCUGAGAGGACGAUCAGCCACACUGGAACUGAGACACGGUCCAGACUCCUACGGGAGGCAGCAGUGGGGAAUUUUGCGCAAUGGGCGAAAGCCUGACGCAGCAACGCCGCGUGUGUGAUGAAGGUCUUUGGAUUGUAAAGCACUUUCGACCGGGACGAAAACCCGUUGGCUAACAUCCAACGGCUUGACUGUACCGGGAGAAGAAGCACCGGCUAACUCUGUGCCAGCAGCCGCGGUAA